rnacentral:rRNA from 1 species
UACGUAGGUGGCAAGCGUUAUCCGGAUUUAUUGGGUGUAAAGGGCGUGUAGGCGGGAAUGCAAGUCAGAUGUGAAAACUCAGGGCUCAACCCUGAGCCUGCAUUUGAAACUGUGUUUCUUGAGUGCUGGAGAGGCAAUCGGAAUUCCUAGUGUAGCGGUGGAAUGCGUAGAUAUCACGCAGAACCCCGAUUGCGAAGGCAGCAUACCGGCGCCCGACUGACGCUGAGGCACGAAAGCGUGGGUAUCGAACAGG